rnacentral:sRNA from 1 species
AGGGCAUCCGGAUCGACACCGCGCGUGACGACAAGGUAAUCGCGAAUAGCGAUGCUGUGGCGCCCUUC